UAUGCAGGAAAGUUGCAAAACAACGUUUCCUUUUAUCAACGAAUGGGGAAAACAUAUGUUGUAUUUGUUGGAUAUAAUCCGGGUAUUUAUGAAACAUGGUUAGAAGCAUCAAGUCAAGUUAUUGGCUUUAAAGGCGUCAUACAUCAAUCAUACAAAAGUAGAAUAGAGGCACAAAAAGCUUUUCAAGCGUACUUGGAUAAAAAAUUUGCACCAAUUUCCAUUUCAUCAUGUGCAACUUCAACUUCGGGAUCAAAUUCAAAUUUAGACAAACAACUUUUGAGUUCUGAAGAAAAAACUAAGUUGAAGGAUACAUUAAAAAAAAAUAGAGCAGCUUUUCAAUUCCUAGUUGUUGUUAUUGUUGGUGUUAUUUUUUAUUUUUUUUUAAUCUGAGUUCAAGUUGAACAAUGGUGUUACAAGUGAUGUAUCAAAUUUAAAACAUAUGUUAUGUUAUCUUAAUAUGUUGUGAAACA